GGUGUGACUGCGCUGGACGAGUCGCAAACUGCCGGGAAAACUGCCGGACAAACGGACAAACGGACAGCCGUACAAACGGACAGCCGGACAAACGGAUAGCCGGACAAUCGGACUCCGGCCGUAGAGUUGGCCAGACUCAUUUCCAUAAGCAGUUGCAGCUGCUGCGGCAUUUAAAUUUGCAAUUACUUGCGUGGUCGGUCUGCUGACGUCGAAAAAAUGAAAAGGAAACACCAUGAAAUCAAUGCAAAUUUGAAUGCCAAAAACGUAAUAUUAUGGCCAAAAAAAAAGUGGAAAGCAUUACUGUGAAAUAGUUUGAGUGUUAAAUGACCUUUUCAGUAUAUGAGUCCAUUAUUAAAAUAUAUAUUUUGUUGAAUGAGGAACAUAUAGAAAUUGAAUACAUGCUAUACAUUUUUUUUAAACAUUAUAUCAAUAACAAUCAAAACUAAUAUGUGUUCAUGUUUAUAAUUAUAUCACUUACAAGGAGAUUAAAAGGGUAUACUAGAUUCUUUUAAAAGUAUGUAACAUAUAGAAGGAAGCGUGUCCACCCAGUAUAUGGAUUUAUGAUCAGGAUAUCUAUCCAUUUGGCCAUGUCGAUCUGUUCGAUAUGCUAGCUGAUUAUGAGUCAGAAGUCGAAUCUGAUUCACUCCCUCUGGCUUUCAUCCGUUUUUGUGCGCUCGUGCUUUUUGCGGCCACCAUUCUGACCUAAUUCGGAGCAUCAGCCAGAAUCCGGCGAGCAUUUCGUUUCGUUUGGUCAGCAUUCACCACUCAGAGCCCCGAAUCCAGUAUCCACUAUCCAGUAUCCAGAGCUCAUGGAGCCACUGCAUUGUCGGUUAACGUAUUCAACGCUAAAAUGUGUGCAGCUACCACACCACCGGUGCCACCGAAGCCACUGCAGCCUGUGGCACCACCAGCACCACUUCAGCAUCAUAACAUUUCGAGCCACGCAAGUUCUGUUUGCCUUUUGCGGUUUCCUCCACCAGCUAAUGCAGAUUUUGGGCGCUCUUUUGGCCAUUAUGUAUGUUCCAGCUGCUCAACAAGAAGCAUUGAGUGUUAGUGGAUAAACUGGAAACUAAUCCAAAUCAACGCCUAAUGGGCUCCGAACGCAUCUGCUGGAAACUAUAUAUAGCUUCGCUGCAUCCCUUAUCAACCGAAGCGCUCGGGAAAUGAGGAAAUGGCUUAAAGCAGUUACCGUUCUCUCUUGGCCACUUCAAAGGCGGCGAAUGCACUUAAUUGAGUGGUCGUUAGUCCCGGAGGAGGAGGCAUGGCGGAGCAGAGCCAACCAGAUCAAAGGAGCAGCUCAGACCCGCCAGAAAGCUGCGUCAAUCGGACACCUCCAUUAGCCCAAUCAACCUCGGAAUGCGCGAAUGGUGGAUGCGAGUGUGGAAGUGGCAGUGUGGCAGUGGAAGUGCCAGCGGAAGCGGACACUCAAUUAAAUCUUACUGCACAUUUCGCAACAAUUGGCCAGCUACUUUGCAGCCGGCUUACUGCGUGUAAUAGCCAUCUGGUCAUCCGCCCGGAAUCUGUGUCAUCGGAUCGGAUCGGAUUGGACUGGACUGGAUGGCAGUGUCAUCCAUUCGGCGACUCUCAUUAAAAGUGGCGUGGCUUUUAAGUACCUUAAAUUGCCACUCGCGUGCACACAGACGCAUUUAUCACGUUCGCUGAUGGUGCACUGGAAAAAAAGCCUCACCAACUAGCAAGGAAGUGUGGAAGUAUAUGCAUUACAAUGACACGGAAAGUGUGGUUUUUAUCAGAGUGAUUAAAAUGAACUCUAGUUGUUCUAGACAUUCUUAAAAUAAAUAUGUAAUGACACAAAGCAAGUCGGAGAAUUGCUAUCUUAAGUUAUUUUGCAAAAUCAGGAAUAAAUUCAG